AUCCAGAUGAUGAGCCCCAAAGUAGGACGAAAUGUGCAUCCUGGAU
rnacentral:hammerhead_ribozyme from 1 species